GCUCAGAACACGGGGUGCGCCCGGGCAGGGCGCUGGGACCGCACCCGUGGAACUUGAUCCAGCUCGUACUGGCGAAAGGAUGUCCGAUGAGUUCACC
rnacentral:ncRNA from 2 species